AUACGGAGGGUGCAAGCGUUACUCGGAAUCACUGGGCGUAAAGGAUGAGUAGGCUGGAUGUCAAGUUGGAAGUGAAAUCCUAUGGCUUAACCAUAGAACUGCUUCCAAAACUGGCAACCUAGAGUGAGGGAGAGGCAGAUGGAAUUAGUGGUGUAGGGGUAAAAUCCGUAGAUAUCACUAGGAAUACCGAUUGCGAAGGCGAUCUGCUAGAACUCUACUGACGCUAAGGCAUGAAAGCGUGGGGAGCAAACAGGAUUAGAAACCCUAGUAGUCC
rnacentral:rRNA from 1 species